rnacentral:rRNA from 1 species
UACGUAGGGUGCGAGCGUUUAAUCGGAAUUACUGGGCGUAAAGCGUGCGCAGGCGGUGAUGUAAGACAGAUGUGAAAUCCCCGGGCUCAACCUGGGAACUGCAUUUGUGACUGCAUCGCUGGAGUGCGGCAGAGGGGGGAUGGAAUUCCGCGUGUAGCAGUGAAAUGCGUAGAUAUGCGGAGGAACACCGAUGGCGAAGGCAAUCCCCUGGGCCUGCACUGACGCUCAUGCACGAAAGCGUGGGGAGCAAACAGG